UCUGGAACAUAUUUCUGUGCCGUCUCAUUUUGUCUAACUUUGUCUGUGGUCUCCAUUUCUCAGGCUGCAGGAUUUUAAUACUUGGUACUGGUACCUACCUGCUGGUGGGUGAGGUUGGUCUAAGAGUCUUGUGCAGGCUUCCUGGUGGGAGGGACUGGUGCCUGCCCACUGGUGAGUGGAGCUGGGUCUUGUCCCUCAGGUGGGCAGAGCCAUGUCAAAGGGUGUUUAUAGGCUGUUGGCUCUGGAUGACUUUAGGCAGCCUGUUUGCUGAUGAGUGGGGCUGUGUUCCCACCCUAUUGGUUGUUUGGCCUGAGGCAUCCCAGCACUGGAGCCUGCAAGCUGUUGGGCAGGGCCAGGUCUUGAUGGCCAAAUGGCAACCUCUGGGAGAGCUCACACCAAUGAGUGUUGCCUGGGGCAUCCACCACUAGUGUCCCCACAAUGGGCCACAGCUGACCCCCACCUCCCCAGGAGAUCCUCUAAGAUCCACAGGUAGGUCUGGUCCAAGCUGUAAUGGAGUUACUGCUUUGUCCUGGGCCCCAGUGCUUGUGAACAUUUUGUGUGCUAAGAAUGGAGUCCCUGUUUCCCCCAGUCCUGUGGAGCUCCUGUACUCAAGUCUAGCUGGCCAUCAAAGCCAAAUGCUCUGGGGGCUCCUCCUCCCAAUGCCAGACCCCCAGGCUGGGGAGCCUGACGUGGGGCUCAGAACUCUCACUCAUGUGGGAGAAACUCCACAGGUAUGGGAUUUGAUUGUAUCACUAAUGUGCCCCUCCUCCUGUCUUCUUGUGGCUUCUUCUUGGCCUUUGGGUGUAGAAUAUCUUGUUUGGUAGGUUCAAGUCUUUUUUGUUGAUGGUUGUUCAGCAGUCAGUUGUGAUUUUGGUGUUUUCGUGAGAGGAGGUGAGCUCAAGUCCUACUCUGCCAUCUUGUCUCUCUCCUGCCACCUUUUGGCUUGAGUUUCAGAAGGAUGAUUCUAGUCUCACGCUGAUGUGUGUGCUGUUGGUUCUGAAGUUCAGCCAAGGCUUGUCACAGAACAGUCACAAGCCACAGGGUUGUGGUUUAAAUGGUCUUAUGUAUAUUGGGGGGGGGACUGAAAAGCUUAGUAGUAUAAAGAUUUUCAAAAACCAUUUUAAAAUAAAUGACAGUAAUCUCUGGAGGGAGAAAUGGGAGUUUUCACUUAGUUUGAUUUACAAGAUCAUAGUAAGACAGGUUUGGGAACAGAACAACAGGCUUGAAAGUUUUUCAGAGACCAUGAGACCGUUGAAUCAGCUGUUAGCGAAGCUCCUGGCCAAGACUUGACAGCAAACUGGUCCACUGGGUGCUCUGGGCAUAUCCACGACUCAGUUCUGCUGAUGGGACGUCUCCUGGAGAACGCUCGGCUGAAAGGAGAGUCUUCUGCCGUGGGGGAGAAUACAUCCACAUCCUCAUCUAGAAAAAGGCAGAAAGACUUAGCAUACAGGAAGUAACUGAGAACAGAACAAAAGAAAAUGGGCUUCAACUGCAGAGGGUUACACGUUAAGAUGGACUUAAAACCCAGCAUUGCUUGUAGGUUCUCUCAUCCCACAGACACACUACCUAUACUUUUUCAAGGCCCUCCGCCCUUACUGUCAGCAUGGAGCUGACAGCAACAAGUAAUUGUGAAAACACAGAAUACCUGUGGUACUUCAGUUUGAUACUAUGCAGUUCUUUUUGUCUCAGAUCUGUGGCAGUUUUGCUGUUUUGCAUGAUUUCUAUCAUGGUCUUGAGGGAAGAGAGCCACUGAAAAGCCCCACCUCCUGCACCCCGCUGCAGUUCUAGCAGAAGGAGGAAACCUCUCUAACCAGUGCAGCUAACAGGGUGAAUCCCGUUCUUUCCAGGUGGGGUCGAGGGGAAUCCUAGGGUCUGAAGGCUGAUUAUAAUAGCCAGUCCGUUCUCAGACUGAAUGUAUGGAAACACAGGGGUAUAACCCCCGAGGGGAAAUGGCUGGCUCUGCACACACCACCUACCACUCGUGCUGCUUUCCCCUCAGAUCCCAGCGACCACAGACGAGCAGGAAGUGAUUGUGUGCCAGUUUCUGUCACUGUCUUCAAGAAGCUGAAGUAAUUUGGUAGGAUGUCGCGGGGUUUUUUGGUUCAAAUACACAUAAGUUCUAAAGUGGUAUUUCUCUGGGAAGGGCACAUAACACACUGCAGGGAUAAAACCAUCCCAAACUGUGGCAGUCCCUACAACUCCUGCAAGAUGCAAGUGCCUGAAAACCCCAAGCUAGCUUGGGAUAGAGCUAACCAAAGGAUAGAAGAUUGAUCCUGGUAACAUCUCUAGGACCUUCAACAAAUUACCUCUGGUGUCUUUACACUGAGAGGAGGGUGCCUUCCCGUGGAACAGCAGUGGAGAGUGGGUCAGCGCCUGCAGACCGCUGGCAGAGAGGCAGCUCCGCACGGCACAGCCGGGAGGCGGGGUGGCACCUGCAGCAACGGCACAGUCAGCACAGCCCGCAGCCCUCACAAGGAAGCCCCAGCCUUCCCGGUAGGCAUCUCUGCAGUGCCUCCUGACCAACACACCCGACAGAGCUGCACGGCAGCCAACUCACCUGAAACAAACACCUCGUCGCCUGCCGUGGAGGGGAGCUGUCGCACACCCGUGCCUGGAGACCUGUCUUCACUCUUACCAACUCGGGAGUCUCCUCUCUGCUUGUCACAGACUCUUUUGGUUUGACACUCAGCCUCCUCCUUGGCAGAAAGGAGUCUCUUCCGAGAUCCCAACCCAAACUGUCCCCAGGAGAAGGCUUCCUCAGCCUUAGGCUCACUGUCCCUGGGAGGUGACUGGUCUGGCAGCUGACACACCCCCUCGAGCUCAAAAUCCCCCAAGAUGGGGGUCUUGGUGAUGCUGAGUUCAAGGCCUCGCUCCUUCCCCUCCGGCUCCAGCAGCGACACUCCCCCAGGAAGGUCUGUACUGCCCUCGCUCCUCCCAGCAGAGCAGCUGAGGCUGCAGUCCACUGCCCUCUUCCGGCGGGGCCAGUCUUUAAUUGUGUCAGGAGUUGUCUUCCCGCUGUGCUUGGGGGAUGGUGUCCAAGGAACUCCGAUUUCUGUCUGAAAUGGAGAGGGGGUACUAGAGGGGCAGCGGGUGGGGGUACAGGACUGGCAGAUAUAGGUCUGUCCCCUGCUCUUGCCGGGGGUGCCGUGUGAGGGGCGAAGGCAGGGGGGCGACAGGUAGGUGGCUUCGGGUUUGCCUGAGGACUUGCUGGCCCUGGGCACGCUGAGACCAGGGAGGCAGCUCUCCUCUCCCAGAGAGCUCUCCUCCCUUUGCAGGGGCUCGGCUUCUGACAGACAGCUGGGGUCUAUCUUUUUAAUUCGAAGCUUGGGAAGGCCAGAAGUUUGCAUCUCCAGCUCAACCUCAUAGGUCUGUGGGCUGGCAGAGGCUCUGGAGGGCCAGGCUGACGCCUGCAGAUUCUCUAGUUGGGCAGCAGCCUGGCGCUGCUUCCUGUCUGCGGUGCAGCGCAGGUCGUAGCAGGGUGUCAGGGGAGAGCUGGGCCCAGAGGAAGGAGAAGAGGGAGGAAUCCCAGGGUUACACAGAGACGGCUUCUCAUAAGUACCCAUCCUUGACCCCUCACCUUCUUCCACUGGUGAAACGUUGCUUUUUAAGUUAUCACUGCUAUGGUGCUCAGCAGCUUCAUCCAGGAGAGUGAGAUACUCCGAGUCUCUUGCAAUAAGCAGAGGAGAGGAUGUAUGCCAGUGACUCCCAAAGCUAGUCCCAGGGUAACUAUGUCUUUCAGGAGGAGAUGGAGGAGAGAGGGUCGCUUCCUUCUGGUUCUUUCUAGCAUCUGUGAUGGCAGCUGGGUUGUCAGUUGUGGCAACUCUGAGAACAGCAGAGCUGUUAGGCUGGCCCUCCUGGAAGUUUCUUUCUGUUUUAGAAGUCUUUUUAUGCCUUUUCCCAAUUUUAGAAGGGGGUGGAGGCGGUAGGAGGUCAGAUCUAGCUAUCUGUGAGGCUUUGUAGGGAGUCGAGGGAGCAGGACAGGAGGGAGAUGUGGCUACACUGGGUGAUUUCUGGGCCUCUUGCCAAUCCAGUUCUCCAGAGGGAGGAGAUUCUACAGAAAAAUUCCCAAAUGGAGUCUUCUCGGAAAUACCACAUGAAGGAGAGGGAACAGGUUUCUUUGGAGAAGUCAGAGCUGUGUUCCCUGGUUUCUCUGGGGUUCUGACAGCAUCAUUCCAUGGCUGCGCCAGCUUCUCUGCCUGAGACGCUCCGGAGCCACGGAGGAGUUGGCGUUUCUGACUUGGAGGUGUGCCUACAAAGGCAGCUCGUCUUUGGACCCCCGAGGCUGCUGCCCUCAGAGGGAUUCGAGGAGAGUAUUUGAUGGGAGUCAGACACUCACUCCUGGUCUGGGCAGUUGACGAAACCAGGGCUGCCGGACAGGAGGUGCUUUCUGGACUGGAAUUCACCAAACGUGGCCAAGCAGAAUUCUGCAAAAAUCUAGGUGGCUGACCACCUUGUCUUUGGGGAGUUCUCGGUAUUUUUUCAAGAGGAGAGUGACUUUCUGCCAGGGAGUGUCCUUUCUGAGGAGUGGCUUUUCGUCGAGAUGGCGAAUGCCAGCCGUGUGAGGAGUCUUUUAAGAACUCCUUAAAAAUGACCUGUUUGGCAGGGGUCAUUUCUGCAGGGGAUUUUUGCAGCCUUUCAGGAGUGCGCAACGGAGUUUGUGGCGUAUGAGGGAACUUUCUUGGUGUAGCUUUAGAAAAGACUGGAGAUUUCCAGUAACUCUUCUCAGGAGUCUGUAAAGAAAAAUGCUCAUUUCAGUGCUUGAACAUCAUAACCCAUAUUUUCUGAAGAGUGUUUUAAUAAUGUCUAAGAUGAUUAAAAAGUCAAAUUUGGAAGAUUUAUAGUCAGCCAAAGGAAUGAUCUUAAGUUGGAUUUCGUAUAGUGACACGUUUCCACUUCCAAAACAUGACCCAGAUUUUACAUGUCCACUUUUUCUAGCACCAAGCGCUGUAUCCAAUCUUAGUUUCUUCUCCUAAGACAAAUAGUUUUAAUAAUUUGCAUACUACAGCUAAAACAUGCUUUGCCUCUAACUCUAUGUCACUCCACUACUCACAGCUAUCUUCUUCAAUGAGACAACUAUUUCUGAUCUUUGCCUAAAGUAACCUUUCGGAGCCACAUCACCUCCUGUUGAUCUGCAUUCAACAUGUGCUUUUAAGUACCUGCUAUGUGCUAGGCAAUGUGUGCGGGAGGAGGCCCGGGGGGAUGAGGUGGAACAUGAAAUAUAUGGAUAUAUAAGGCACAGCCUCAAAGAUAACAUCUCAGAAAGGAAACUCUCCAGCAAAAAACUUUCCUUCCUUCUUGCAAAAAUGCAGUUAAAUACUCCAACAGGUAAGGAGGUCCAACACCUGUUGUUUAAUCUUAUCUGAUCAUCUCAAGGGAGUCCUGGUCUAGUUGGCAUUUCAUGUGGGAUACAGACAGAUAUAUAGUAUGGCCAAUGCAAUGACAGGGGCACGCAUGGGACAAUAUGGGAGCACCGGGAGGGUUGGCUAUCUAACCCAGCAAAGGGGAGAAAGAGGGAAUAGGAAUAGCGAGUCAGGUCUUAAAAGAAUGGGUGUCAGCAGAAGACAAAAGGUGGGAAAGUGGGGGAGAGGGAACUUCAGGCAUAGAAAACAGUGUAAGCAAAGGCACAAAAGCAAAAAACAGCAGUUGUGUGCAUCCUGAGGCUGCUGGGAAGGUGGAGUGUGAAGCAGAGAUGGCUGAGCAGGGAUCAGAUCAUGGAGGUCCUUGCCUGUCCAGGGAGGAGAAUGAACAUGGUUCUAUAGAUCUGUGGUUUUCAAACCCUUCCCCACAGUUCCCUCCGUAUCCUCCUCCAUCCUCUAAGCAGUUUUUGGGUUUCCAAACGAAGAUUAUUAUCUUUGAACACAGGGUUCCAUUUCAGGAAAACUUAGAAAACCCUGCUUUAACAGAUGAAGAGUCUGUAGAGCUUCAAGCAAAGUGAUGUGGUCAGAGGAGCGUCCAAGGGGGUCACAAAGGUCCCUCUGACCUCUGGGGACAGGAUGAAUUUGAGAGAGAAGAGGCUACUGAAGUGUUCCAGGCAGAACUGAACUAGGGCAGGAACUGCAGGGAUGGAGAAGAGGGAAUGGGUAUGAGAUAGUUUGUCAGUAAAAUGGGCAGGACUAAUUGAGUAGCCAGGCCUGAGGAGAGGGGGAAGUCCAGGAUGACUCCCAGGUUUCUAACAUGGGUGACGGGAUCGAGUGGGCAAUCUAACAGAAACAGAUGAAUGCUACUGCACAUUUCAGAAGGAUAUAUACGUAGUGUCCAAUAUAAAUGGAAGAUGAAGCCAAGAGAGUAGGGCGAGAUCUUUCUAUCUCCUCCCUGCCACCUUGGCCUCAGCCCAACUGCUACCUAAGUCCCCAUACACC